rnacentral:misc_RNA from 1 species
CUUCCUCUACGAGUUGAGAGUACGAGAUGUUAUGAAAACAGAACUUAAGCGACCACAAUACAGGCGGCCAGUUCUGAUAUUCAGUUCAGUUCAGUUGUGAUAUUCCAUGUGUUCCUUAUCCCACUUUGAGCUGCACCCCAGAACACAGGUUGACAGAAUGGCUGACAAGGUGAUGGUGAUGGUGGUAGUUGCAGCAGCAGCAGACCAGGACACAUGCUGGGAUAUUGUGUCCAUCAGCAGAACUGACCUCAUGUCCCACAGAUUUAUGCCCUGUGAUGAUUUAGAAAAUUGUCCAGUGAAACCAGUGGCUGUGAUGGGCACUGCUGACCAGCCCAACGAGUGUGUGAAGUGUGAUGUUAGUGAGUGUGACAUGGACACUAGUGCCGUCGGGUGUUUCUGUGGCAGUGAUAACCUCAUCAAUGGUACGGUGGGCUGUAAGAAAACAGGAAAGCCCAAAAUGAAGGCAGUUCACAUACAGACAGAGGGAUUGUUCUUUGCAGCUUUCCUAAGAGAGUUACAAUGCUCCCUUGUGUACAGACUGUUAGUGCUGGAGCAGUGGACUUGUGUGUGGAGGAAAAGAUUUGUUAAGACCAGCAGUAUCAACAACAGAGCAGGUGUAGUGGUUCAUGUCAAAGUGCACAACAAUCUGCCCCAUGUACUGGACUAUGCCUGGGGGGAGAGGAUGAGCCUGUGUGUGGUGGAGCGGCAGCAGCUGGACAUUAUGAUGUCAUGGCUCUCGACGCUAGGUGGGGCAUGUUCGGCCCUUGGGGACCACCUGGUGGACUUUGCUGAGCGAGCUGGGGCCAUCUCUGCCAAGCAGCUCCAGAUUGCACUGCGCCUUGGGGACCCAAACAUGGCGUCCCGGUGCAGGUUGUACGCUGCCAUCUCACUCAUCCAGAAGUGUCGCUUUAAGCUUGCAGCAAGUGUCAUCAGGCAGGAGUACCAGCGGACACUCAGUGUGCUGCCUGAGGCCAGGGACAUCCGUCUUGUCAAGAUGUGUCAAGGCAUCUGGACCAAAUUGAGGCAUGAGAAAAAGAUCUACUACCAGAAACACAACUCGCCUUCCACCAGGACCAUCUAGCUGCCACACUGCCUUGCCUCCCUGCCCACUGACUGACUCCAACUCUCUUGAGCACAUCCCAGCUGAGUGCCAACCUGCUGGUAUGACGGGGGCUGGUGCACCACCAGGCCACGAGUCACCAUGCCAUUCUACAGCGCGUGCUCUGAAAUGCUCAACUCAACAUGCUGUCAGUCUGUGAAGUCAGAUGCCAGCAAGGACAUAUCAAACAACAAUUCAUAGAUAUAUAGUAUAUAUACAUGAUUAAUGUAGAUGAUUUAAUAGGUACACAGUACCUUGGAUCAUAAAUAUGGCAUGUAAUUAUAUACAUCAAAUGUUUGCAUGCAUAUUGUUAUAAUUACAAUUGGUGCUGUUACAUAAAUUGGCAUAAUUAGUGUUAUUACUAAGGAAGUAUUGACAAUUUAAAUACAUACAGGAUAAAAUACAUUUAAUUAAAUGUUUCCAAGUAAAAAAUAUAAAAAGUUGAAACUUGCAAAUAAAACCUGCAUAGUGAAUCACAAUUUAAACUUUCAGUGUCUGCUCACCAAUCAGAUGCUUUUGAUUCAUACGUGUAGGUGUGUCAUACAAACUAGGUAAAGAAAAAAUAUAUAUUAUAUUUCAAAUAAAACCCAUAAAAGAGCCAAUAUUACAAAGCUCUCCUAUGUCAAUGUAUAUCAUCCUAGAAUCUUUGGUAAUGCUAACCUCAGUGAAAUGAGAGAGGGAGAAACAAAAAUAAAAAAAAUACAAUAU